AUACUUACCUGGUGCCGGGGUAGCCCUGAUUAAUGAGGGGGCUCCCCCAGGACGAGGCCUAACCAUUGCACCGCGUUUGGGUGGACUCCUACCACUACCCCAAACAGGGGCAGAUGGGGCAUGCAAUUUUUUGUAGUGGGGGACUGCGUACGCGCUAUCCCCCU